AAGAAACCGAGAGGCCCACAGGCAGCUGAACAAUAUACCACAGCUCUGGACAGCCCGGUCAAGGCCGCCUGGGUGGGUGAUAAUUGCCUUUGCCUCUCUAACCCUCCUCCCCAGGAAACCCACCCUCUCAGGCCUGGGCUCUUGGGGUUCUCUAGGCUGCCUGUCCUAUUUCUCAGAAAGCCUGAGUUUCUGAGAACUUGUUGGCUGGACGUCGGGCUCUGAGGUCAACGGGUCUGAGUCAAAUCCUCGCUCUGCAAUUUAGAAUUGCGUGACCUGAGCAAGCCAUCCACUCCCCCGGAAGCCCCAUUUCCCAUCCGUAAAGGAGAAUGGUAACACCAGUGUUGCAGAUUGGCUGUGAGUCUGCACUCAACAAUGCCUGUCGGGCACAUUGUACCUGCCAGGUUCAAGUGGUGGACAAUUUCUACUUUGUCUGAAAACCCCUGCCCUCCAGGAGCUUCCAUUCUGCAGAGUAAGACAGACAAUAAAUCCUCAAGUAAUGAAAUUGGGACUCGCUGUGGAGCACGAGGCACCUGGACAAGGAGGAAAGGGAAGACCACAAAGUCCAGCUGGAGACCCCAGCCUUCCGGGGCCCCUGCUUUACACGGACAGAUGCCAACCCAGCCCCACAGGUGCCAACUGAGGACCUCAGGGACCUUUGCUGUGGACAGCUUACCUGGAUGGAACAGGAAGACAGUACAGCACGCUGCCCACAGUGACCUUUUGUUUCCAGCCACCAAACCCGAGAAAAACAACCACCUACUACUGCGAGCAGUGCAACCCAAAGCGGGUGUCUCAUUUCUCGGAAGGUUCUGGGCAGGACCCUGUCUCAUUCACCAUUGUACCCCUGCAUCGACCACAGUGCCUGGCACCCAACCAAGAGGCCCAUGGUGAUCACACUCAACUUCAGAACUCAAGUGCCUUGCAAACAGCACCCUUUCCUUAGGGCCCCAGGCUUUCACUUCAUAGGGUUUUUUCCAGAAGCUUCUUUACCUUCUGUUGCAGAUAAAAAAAUAUUAAUAUGGACUUUUCAGUUUGGACCUCAGAGGGAGACGAUGAUGAUGACAAUAAAAAUAAUAAUAGAUUGUGGUGCCUAAAAUGUGCUGGGUGCCGUCACAAGUUUUCUG
rnacentral:lncRNA from 1 species